rnacentral:ncRNA from 1 species
UGGUUCACAAGUUUGCAGUUCAACGGGAAGCAGGGUGAUGGUGCUGGCCUUCAGCGCCACCUAGCCUGCGCUGCCCCCGCAACGGUGAGUUCUUAGCGUUAGUCAUACGCUCACCCAUCAUUUAAGCCACUGAAUGCCUUGAACAAGCAUUUGGGAAGGCGAUGGCGUUGAUGAACCAGCCCGGAUACCGGCCAACACAG